CCCUGGUUAGCUCAGUUGGUAGAGCACUCCACUGGUAAUGGAGAGGUCCCGGGUUCGAUACCCGGACCAGGCG
rnacentral:tRNA from 1 species